rnacentral:rRNA from 1 species
CAGCAGCAGCCGCGGUAAUACGAAGGGUGCAAGCGUUACUCGGAAUUACUGGGCGUAAAGCGUGCGUAGGUGGUGGUUUAAGUCCAUUGUGAAAGCCCUGGGCUCAACCUGGGAAUUGCAGUGGAUACUGGGUCACUAGAGUGUGGUAGAGGAUAGUGGAAUUUCCGGUGUAGCAGUGAAAUGCGUAGAGAUCGGAAGGAACAUCUGUGGCGAAGGCGACUAUCUGGGCCAACACUGACACUGAGGCACGAAAGCGUGGGGAGCAAACAGGAUUAGAUACCCGCGUAGUCCCUGUCUCUUAUAC